UCCAUUUGGAAAUGAGGGAUUGGAGCACUCAGGAGAAUUUCAGGCACUUGGGAAGCAGCAGCAGCCCUGUGCAGAGAAUAGUUGAAGCUGUCUGUAAGGAGCUGGUUGACCUGUCUAGCUGUGGGGAAGAUCUGCAGAGCUGGCACGUUGCUCAUUUAUCAUUCCAAAGGAGUUCAAAGCUGCAGCCAGGAGAAGAGGCUGACUUAGAUUCUGCAAGAGUAAAUUUGGAUUUGAUUUUUUUUUUUGCUUUGCAAAUGUUCAUGAAAAGCAAAUAUCUAACGUUUUUGCUCCUUUCUGGGUGGGGGGAAGGAAGAGGGUUAAUUAUAUUUCAUGCUAAAAUGGGACAAGCGGAGACUAGUCUAAGCCUGCUUGUUGAAGAUUAAUUUCCGUCCUGCAGAACAAGGUCAGAAGAUAAUGGUUUUGGAGCGGGGGUGGAGAUUUUUCACUUAAAUUACUUUCUCUGCAGAAUUGGAUCAAUGUUAGCAUUAUCUGAGCAGCACUGAAGAAACGUUAGAAGUACUUUAUCAUAGUAAAUUAUUAGCCUUUUUUAAGAAGAAACUUAAUUGUGUUGAAAUCAAGUCUACAUUCUGAUGCCAUCUGGACACAAGUGUGAAUACCCCCAGUCCAUAGUGGACAUCCUGUGCAAUAGGCUGUUGGCAUGAGUUUCUGGUUUUAAGUCCUGAAGACAAAAUAGAAAAUUAAACAGAAUAUGACCUUAGAGAAAACAUCUGGAACAAGCCAAAGACUUCAUUCCAGUGUAGACCUGCCAAACCAGCUGGAUUGUGUUAAAAGGUUGGAAGCAAAUACUACAAUGCAAACAAUAGUCUGAGCUGUACUCAGCGCUGCAGAAAGUUGUCUUCCUCUAAUCAUCAGAAAGUGUUUCCAGUUCUUCUGGUGAAGAAAUGAUAUAGCAUAUGCAGAAGCUCAGCCUGAUAAGAAACGAUCUUCAGUUCUUGAAUAACUUGGUGAAAGGAAGCCCCUUUGAUGUGCCAUCAAAGAAAAUGCAGAAAUGGUGGAGUCACUGUUGCAUCAACAAUAAAAUGCUCCAGAAUGUACUAUGCAGUGUUAGUGUGCAGUUUCAUGCAAAUGUCUCUAACAGUUUCUUCAGAAUACUUGAUUUCUGCCCCACUCCCAAAGCUUUGCAAAUUUCAUUUGUCUUUUCUGUUGGAACAUGGAACAGUUUGCAGGACAGUUCUCUCAUUCUGUUUGGUGAAGGUUCCUCACCUCACAUCACAAAGCUGUAUAGAUUGUUGGUUCCACAUGUAGGAGUUUUUACGAUUGCCAAUCUGUUAUUAUCUGUAAAUGACUCAUGUCUUAAGUGACUUUCCUGCUUUUUAGCACCGAGGUGACUAUACUUUAUGGUGCCCAUAUCAUACUAAAAAUGCUACUGUAACACUCUGAAUCAAGGUUAUAAACACCAAUUAAUGAGUGUUCAUGUUGACAGCUAGUGCUUUGGGCUCAUUGGAAAAAAAAAAUCCUUACUCUGAGAUGGCUUGUUUGAAUUCUAUCUGUUCAGUGAGACAAAACCUUUCUUCUUUGACUUAAGAACCUAUAAAAUGAAGUUGUCCCUUCUCCUUUAAAAUAGGACAAACUUUGACAAAUACCUUCUGGUUAACAACAAAAAAGAAUCUUCUUGGACCAAAUGGAAGGUCUUUUUGGGCCUUGGGCAUAGCUUUUUAAGACUACUUGCAUAAAGCCAUGAAAAAACCCACAAGCUUGAUAUUUUAUCUAGGUAAGAUACAUAAGUGCAAGGCAGAAGGAAACAGGAGGAGAAUUCAUAAGGAAAAUUGCCUCCUACAGAAAAAA